rnacentral:tRNA from 1 species
GCGGUAGAGUGAAACGGAUAUAUAAAUCAUUCUAGUCUCAUAAGCUACGAGAUAGCAGGUUCGACUCCUGUUUACCGCA